GGCGAACGCUGGCGGCGUGCUUAACACAUGCAAGUCGAACGGAAAGGCCCUGCUUUUGUGGGGUGCUCGAGUGGCGAACGGGUGAGUAACACGUGAGUAACCUGCCCUUGACUUUGGGAUAACUUCAGGAAACUGGGGCUAAUACCGGAUAGGAGCUCCUGCUGCAUGGUGGGGGUUGGAAAGUUUCGGCGGUUGGGGAUGGACUCGCGGCUUAUCAGCUUGUUGGUGGGGUAGUGGCUUACCAAGGCUUUGACGGGUAGCCGGCCUGAGAGGGUGACCGGCCACAUUGGGACUGAGAUACGGCCCAGACGCCUACGGGAGGCAGCAGUGGGGAAUAUUGCACAAUGGGCGGAAGCCUGAUGCAGCAACGCCGCGUGCGGGAUGACGGCCUUCGGGUUGUAAACCGCUUUCGCCUGUGACGAAGCGUGAGUGACGGUAAUGGGUAAAGAAGCACCGGCUAACUACGUG
rnacentral:rRNA from 1 species